AGAAAUUGUACACUAGACUAGUUCGCCGUUAACUACCCCUAGUCUAGUCUACAGUUCAUGG
rnacentral:pre_miRNA from 1 species